GGAGGUACAAGGGGAUGGCAUUUCAGCGUCACUUCCUGACAGCGCCUCCGUCUUGUUCCCUGGGCCGGGGGCAGUCAGCAGCAGCGAGGGGCCUCUGUCAUUUUUGGGCCACAGCCAGCAGUCCACCUUUUUCUUCUGUAAGCACCUUCCUUUUCCAUGCGGGGAGGGAAGCUGAGAUAGCCCAUCAGCCUGACAGGUAGCCUUGCCCCUGGUCCCUUGGGGCUGCCUCGUGAUUCAUGCCAGGUGAGGACAUGGUGAAGAGGCAAUAAGUACAAGUUGGGAAGAAAUCGAACCCCAGCAGACCUUGACCUUGGCUCUUCGACCUCUAACCUCUUAGCAAGGAGAUGUAUGUUGUGUCGACAUCUCUCUCUGUGGUGUUUUGUUAUGGCAGCCAGUGCUGGCUAAUCCAUGUUGCAGCAAGCACACUGCAAACCCUUUGACUGUGCUCGCAGAGCUGAAGAGGAAUGACAGGAUUUCUGCAAGAGGAGGGAGAAGGCAUGCACACUACAUGCUUUGCAGCCAGAGACCAUGAACUGAAGCAACUCUGUUUUCUGUGUCGAGUAGGGAAGAACCCAGGGUCUGGAGGAAAACGAGUUGAGUCUGAUCCUGAGCCACCUGUGUGACUGUAGAUACCACACAAAGGCAUUGUCUGUGGAAGAAUUAACGGGUAAGCUGGCUUUCAUUAAACGAAAAACUUGUGAUUUGUGAAAGACAAUGUCCAGAGGAGGAGAAGCCACAGUCGGCAAGGGAACAUUUGCAACAGUCACGUCAUCAGACUGUCAUCCAAGACACACAAAGAGUUCUUAAACCCAGCAGUAGGAAAACAAACAACCUGAUUUAAAAAAAAAUGGGCCAAAGACUUUAACAGACACCUCAGCAGAGAAGGUACACAGAGGGCUUCAGGGCUGGGGAAUGUUCUACCGCAGAUGUUCUUAGGUAGGAGAUGCCAAUGAGGACAGCGGUGAGCUACGAUUACAUACCUGUGAGAGUGACCUACAUCCAGGACACAGACACCAUAAAAUGGUAAAUAGGAUGUGGAGCAAAAGGAAUGCCCAUUCAUGGCUGGUGGGAUCAGGAAGUGGCAGAAGCCACAUUGAAUGAGAGCAUGGCUUUUUUGGGGGGAGGGGGAUAAAAUCAAACAUAUUAGUCAGGGUUCUCUACAGGGAAAGAACUGAUAGGAUGAAAAAAAUUAACUUGCUAGAUCAGUGUAUGUCAAAAUUGUAAAAACCACUGUCUCACCCUUGAGGGGCUAAGCACCCAGGAUUUGCUCAGUCUCUGAAGCUAGGAGCCUUAGCUGUCCCAAUCUGGUGUUGAAGAUCUAGAAGGUUUCUGGAGAGCCAUCGGUCUUCAGUCAACUUUGGGAGUCUGGGAACUUGGGUUAAUAGCACUGAGGAAGCAGCAGCAGCAUAGAUCAGGUAGGAAGCAAGAAGAAAAGUCAAGAAAGCAAAAGGGGACUGACUAGUUUUCCUACUGUGCUUUUAAAAAUUAUUUAUUAAUUUAUUAUUAAUAAAUCAUUAUUAAAUUAUGACUUGUUAUUAUUAUUAUGUAUGCCACUGUCUUCAGACACACCAGAAGAGGGAAUCGGAUCUCAUUACAGAUGAUUGUGAGCCACCAUGUGGUUGCUGGGAACUGAACUCAGGACCUCUGGAAGAGUAGCCAGUGCUCGUAAGCGCUGAGCCAUCUCUCCAGCCCCCUACUGUGCUUUUUAAUGUCUGGACUGCAGUUGGAAGAUGCCACCUCAUUUAGGGUGAGUCUUCCCACAUCAAUUAAGAUGAAAAAUUCCUCAGUCGAGACUCCCUGCUCAGGUGAUUCUAAAUCGAGGCAAGUUGACCUGUAAAACCAAUCAUUAUACAUACUUUUACCUUGUGAUCCAGGAACCACAUUCUUUGGUAUUUACCCAAAGGUGUUGAAAAUGUAUCCUUUACUCUUCUUUUCUACCUACCUUCCUUCCUUCCUUCCUUCCUUCCUUCCUUCCUUCCAUUUCCCCUCCCCCUCCCCCCAUCUCUCCUUUCAAAAAUCCCCCAAACAAAACUCCUGCACACAGUAGUAUCUUCUCAGCUUUAUUUAACGAUUUCACAGACUUGGGAGAUCUCCUGCAGAAGGUGGAAGGAUAAAUAAACCGUAGCCUUGGGCCCUGAAUAAAUUGUUUACAACCUUACAGAAAUGCACAGUGGAGAUAUGAUAAGGCAAGGAAUCAUCUAAAACACAUGCAUCUGAGUGGAAAACAGAGGUCAUUCUGACCACUCAACGUUCUGGGGAAAGCAAGACUGGAGAGCUGCCGACAGUAAGAAGAUAAAGGAACGGCAGGGUUAGAGAGGGCCGAGCGAGGGAGAGCUACUAACAGAGGUUUCUUUCUGUUUGUCUGCUUUUGUUAUUUUGGGACAGGGUCUCACUUUGUAGUCUGGCUGCUCUGGAACUCACUCUGUAAACCAGGCUGGCCUCAAACUCACAGAGAUCUGCUAGCCUCUGCUUCCCGAGGGCUGGGAUCAAAAGAGUGAGCUACCAUGUCCUCACACAGAAGCCUCUUGAAGGUGGGGAGACUGUUCAUCUAGUGAUGACUGAAGGCCAAGGCGUAUUGACUGAACUCUUAGAACACACAGCAUCACGUACUUGGACUGACUCCUGACUCAGUGAUACACACUUUCAAUCCUAGCACGCUUGAGGCAGAGGUAGACGGAUCUCUGAGUUCGAGGCCAGCCUGGUCUCUCUGUAGAGUAAGUUCCAGACCAGCCAAGGCUAUACUGAGAAACUCUGUGUACUGACUGGUUUUGUGUGUCAACUUGACACAAGCUGGAGUUAUCACAGAGAAAGGAGCCUCAGUUGAGGAAAUGCCUCCACGAGACCCAGCUGUAAGGCAUUUUCUCAACUAGUGAUCGAGGAGGGAGGACCCAGUCCAUUGUGGGUGGUACCGUCCCUGGGCUGGUGGUCUUGGGUUCUAAAAGAGAGCAAGCUGAGCAAGCCAGGGGAAGCAAGGCAGUAAGUAACAUC